CUUUCCUGAACAAUAGGCAACACACAGAGGCAAAAGUCUAGAUAUAGCACGUACAAAUAAUCCCAAAAUAAUAAGAACCACAAUUCGAAUUACGGAUGGUCCUGUGACAACAGAGGGUCCGGUCCACUACAUCACACAGCGUUUUCUCAAUAUUGAUUUUGUUUGCCAUCCUUAGUGCAGCUUCAGUUUGGUUCAUUUUAAGGAAGGGGUGAGACGGAGGUGAUUUCUCUUUGCUGUUUUUGGGACCCAGAAGAAAGAACCCAAAUCCCACAUCCCUCCCAACGUUUGCCAGGUUCCUCAUUGAAAAGCCCUUCCAACUUCAAGCUCAAAAGAACAACCUACAGUCCAGCCGAUUUUCUUCCCUCACCUUUUUGGCUAUCUUUCCUUCCUCCUCUGGGAGUCAGACAGAGUCCGAACACUUCAUUCCUUUUUCCUGCAGAUUUUGGAAGUGGCUGUUUAUCUUUUUCCAAUCUAGCAAAUGAUGAACAGGAGAAGAAUUGCCCAGCAACAUCUGGGGCUUCCUGGGCAGGAACUCAUAAUCAAGCAAGAAAACAGAGAAUUGG